UCUAACAGAUAAUGUCACCAACGUCGCUCAGAAAUCCCUUCGUCCUGGCAAAAAAGAGGAUGUGCCAAUAGGAGUAGGACUUGCUGUGUGGAAAAUCCCAGUACAAACAUACUUAACAACUUAGCUCCUGGUGCUGCUCAGACUUAACGUCUUCGACAUAAAAUCAAACACAACUGUCUCAGUGACUCGUGGACAAGAGAAAGGAGGAGAUUCAAUGGCAGAUAUGAAGGUGAUUUGUUCAGAUGUAUCUGACUAAUAAUACAAGAGCUGCUGGGUGUUGGUGACAUGGCAGUAGAGGUUGAAGCUUCUUGCCAAUUACAUUUUAUUGCUGUGUUCAAGAUGUGUCACUCAGCAGCUACAUCACAAUGCAGCUGAAGGUUUGAACUUCCAGAUUGAGGCCAGAGAAUAAGGCAACCUUUCUCUUGCAAUACAAUGCCAGGCCCUAUGCCAGUUUGAAGACCAUGGAGCACGUUGUUGAUCGUGGCUGAAUGCAGCCACCAUAUACUCUAGAUGUGGAGCCUUCUGACUUCUGCCUGUUUGGACCAAUGAAAGAUGGAUGUGUAGGCACAUCAUUAUAGCAAUAAUGCUGUCACAGCAGCAGUGA